rnacentral:rRNA from 1 species
AGUGAACGCUGGCGGCGUGCUUAACACAUGCAAGUCGAACGGUAAGGCCCUUCGGGGUACACGAGUGGCGAACGGGUGAGUAACACGUGGGUGAUCUGCCCUGCACUUCGGGAUAAGCCUGGGAAACUGGGUCUAAUACCGGAUAGGACUCCGGACUGCAUGGUCUGGGGUGGAAAGCUUUUGCGGUGUGGGAUGGGCCCGCGGCCUAUCAGCUUGUUGGUGGGGUGAUGGCCUACCAAGGCGACGACGGGUAGCCGGCCUGAGAGGGUGACCGGCCACACUGGGACUGAGAUACGGCCCAGACUCCUACGGGGGGCAGCAGUGGGGAAUAUUGCACAAUGGGCGCAAGCCUGAUGCAGCGACGCCGCGUGAGGGAUGACGGCCUUCGGGUUGUAAACCUCUUUCAGCAUCGACGAAGCGAAAGUGACGGUAGGUGCAGAAGAAGGACCGGCCAACUACGUGCCAGCAGCCGCGGUAA